rnacentral:rRNA from 1 species
UAUCGUUUAUUUGAUAGUACCUUACUACUUGGAUAACCGUGGUAAUUCUAGAGCUAAUACAUGCUAAAAAUCCCGACUUUGGAAGGGAUGUAUUUAUUAGAUUAAAAACCAAUGCCCUCUGGGCUCCUUGGUGAUUCAUGAUAACUUUUCGAAUCGCACGGCCUUGCGCCGGCGAUGGUUCAUUCAAAUUUCUUCCCUAUCAACUUUCGAUGUUUGGGUAUUGGCCAAACAUGGUCGCAACGGGUAACGGAGGGUUAGGGCUCGACCCCGGAGAAGGAGCCUGAGAAACGGCUACUACAUCCAAGGAAGGCAGCAGGCGCGCAAAUUACCCAAUCCCGAUUCGGGGAGGUAGUGACAAUAAAUACUGAUACAGGGCUCUUUUGGGUCUUGUAAUUGGAAUGAGUACAAUUUAAAUCCCUUAACGAGGAACAAUUGGAGGGCAAGUCUGGUGCCAGCAGCCGCGGUAAUUCCAGCUCCAAUAGCGUAUAUUAAAGUUGUUGUGGUUAAAAAGCUCGUAGUUGAACCUUGGGCCUGGCUGGCCGGUCCGCCUCACCGCGUGUACUGGUCCGGCCGGGCCUUUCCCUCUGUGGAACCUCAUGCCCUUCACUGGGUGUGGCGGGGAAACAGGACUUUUACUUUGAAAAAAUUAGAGUGCUCCAGGCAGGCCUAUGCUCGAAUACAUUAGCAUGGAAUAAUGAAAUAGGACGUGUGGUUCUAUUUUGUUGGUUUCUAGGACCGCCGUAAUGAUUAAUAGGGACAGUCGGGGGCAUCAGUAUUCAAUUGUCAGAGGUGAAAUUCUUGGAUUUAUUGAAGACUAACUACUGCGAAAGCAUUUGCCAAGGAUGUUUUCAUUAAUCAGGAACGAAAGUUAGGGGAUCGAAGACGAUCAGAUACCGUCGUAGUCUUAACCAUAAACUAUGCCGACUAGGGAUCGGACGAUGUUAUUUUUUGACGCGUUCGGCACCUUACGAGAAAUCAAAGUGCUUGGGCUCCAGGGGGAGUAUGGUCGCAAGGCUGAAACUU